CUCGUAGGCGGUUCGUCGCGUCCGGUGCGAAAGUCCAUCGCUUAACGGUGGAUCCGCGCCGGGUACGGGCGGGCUUGAGUGCGGUAGGGGAGACUGGAAUUCCCGGUGUAACGGUGGAAUGUGUAGAUAUCGGGAAGAACACCAAUGGCGAAGGCAGGUCUCUGGGCCGUCACUGACGCUGAGGAGCGAAAGCGUGGGGAGCGAACA
rnacentral:rRNA from 1 species